rnacentral:rRNA from 1 species
GAUGAACGCUGGCGGCGUGCCUAAUACAUGCAAGUCGAGCGAACAGACGAGGAGCUUGCUCCUCUGACGUUAGCGGCGGACGGGUGAGUAACACGUGGAUAACCUACCUAUAAGACUGGGAUAACUUCGGGAAACCGGAGCUAAUACCGGAUAACAUGUUGAACCGCAUGGUUCAACAGUGAAAGACGGUCUUGCUGUCACUUAUAGAUGGAUCCGCGCCGCAUUAGCUAGUUGGUAAGGUAACGGCUUACCAAGGCAACGAUGCGUAGCCGACCUGAGAGGGGGAUCGGCGACACUGGAACUGGGACACGGUCCAGACUCCUACGGGAGGCAGCAGUAGGGAAUCUUCCGCAAUGGGCGAAAGCCUUACGGAGCAACGCCGCGUGAGUGAAGAAGGUCUUCGGAUCGUAAAACUCUGUUAUUAGGGAAAAACAAAUGUGUAAGUAACUAUGCACGUCUUGACGGUACCUAAUCAGAAAGCCACGGCUAACUACGUG